rnacentral:rRNA from 1 species
AUUGAACGCUGGCGGCAUGCCUUACACAUGCAAGUCGAACGGCAGCGCGGACUUCGGUCUGGCGGCGAGUGGCGAACGGGUGAGUAAUACAUCGGAACGUACCCUGUUGUGGGGGAUAACUAGUCGAAAGAUUAGCUAAUACCGCAUACGACCUGAGGGUGAAAGUGGGGGACCGCAAGGCCUCACGCAGCAGGAGCGGCCGAUGUCUGAUUAGCUAGUUGGUGGGGUAAAAGCCUACCAAGGCGACGAUCAGUAGCUGGUCUGAGAGGACGAUCAGCCACACUGGGACUGAGACACGGCCCAGACUCCUACGGGAGGCAGCAGUGGGGAAUUUUGGACAAUGGGGGCAACCCUGAUCCAGCAAUGCCGCGUGUGUGAAGAAGGCCUUCGGGUUGUAAAGCACUUUUGUCCGGAAAGAAAGCGCUCUGGUUAAUACCUGGGGCGGAUGACGGUACCGGAAGAAUAAGCACCGGCUAACUACGUG